UUCAGCUGAUCCGUGGUUUAGGUAGUUUCAUGUUGUUGGGGAUUGGCUUUUUAACGCGGCAACAAGAAACUGCCUUAAUUACGUCAGUUCGU